GUCGUAACAAGGUUUCCGUAGGUGAGUUGAGUGAGGAAGUAACUAGCUAACAUUUGUCUCACAGGUGAACCUGCGGAAGGAUCAUUAAUGAGCAAGGAUCUUCUAGGUCCGACCUCCAACCCACUGUAUAUCUAUCUCUGUUGCUUUGGCGGGUCCGUUGGGGAGACCCACCGCUGGCCUCGGCCGGUGAGUGCCCGUCAGAGUCCACCUAAACUCAGUUAAAACUUUCAACAACGGAUCUCUUGGUUCUGGCAUCGAUGAAGAACGCAGCGAAAUGCGAUAAGUAAUGUGAAUUGCAGAAUUCAGUGAAUCAUCAAAUCUUUGAACGCACAUUGCGCCCCUUGGUACUCCAAGGGGCAUGCCUGUCCGAGCGUCAUUACACCACUCAAGCUCAGCUUGGUAAUGGGUCUUCGCCUUCUGAGGCGGGCCUGAAAGUCAGUGGCGGUGCCGCCUGGCUUCAAGCGCAGUAAUCGUCUUUUCGCUUUGGAGGCCAGGCGCGUUGCUCGUCAUUCAAUCCCUCAAACUUCAAAAGGUUGACCUCGGAUCAGGUAGGGAUACCCGCUGAACUUAAGCAUAUCAAUAAGCGGA
rnacentral:rRNA from 1 species